rnacentral:tRNA from 1 species
AGGCACGUAGCUCAGGGGGAGAGCGCUUGUCUGACGCACAAGAGGUCGGCGGUUCAAAUCCGCCCGUGCCUACCA